AGUGAACGCUGGCGGUAGGCCUAACACAUGCAAGUCGAACGGCAGCACAGUAAGAGCUUGCUCUUACGGGUGGCGAGUGGCGGACGGGUGAGGAAUACAUCGGAAUCUACUUUUUCGUGGGGGAUAACGUAGGGAAACUUACGCUAAUACCGCAUACAACCUACUGGUGAAAUCAGGGGAUCUUCGGACCUUGCGCGAUUGAAUGAGCCGAUGUCGGAUUAGCUAGUUGGCGGGGUAAAGGCCCACCAAGGCGACGAUCCGUAGCUGGUCUGAGAGGAUGAUCAGCCACACUGGAACUGAGACACGGUCCAGACUCCUACGGGAGGCAGCAGUGGGGAAUAUUGGACAAUGGGCGCAAGCCUGAUCCAGCCAUACCGCGUGGGUGAAGAAGGCCUUCGGGUUGUAAAGCCCUUUUGUUGGGAAAGAAAAGCAGCAGGUUAAUACCCCGCUGUUCUGACGGUACCCAAAGAAUAAGCACCGGCUAACUUCGUG
rnacentral:rRNA from 1 species